rnacentral:lncRNA from 1 species
GCAGCCAAACUGUCCUUUCUGCUUCCGUCUGUCUGUGCCAGCCCUGCCGCCUGCCAGCUCAUGCAUUCUGGAACUUGUAGUCUCCUGGAUCAUAGGCCUGAAUUGGUUCCACAUUUUGCGUAACCAAUCGGCUUGUGCCAUCCCCACCCCGCCUCUUCAGCCGGACGGAAAUAAACAGUUCCGCUCCUGGCAGGGGCGCGAUCUUGGGGACUCCGGCAGCGCGUUAAGGGAAGUCCUGCUGGUCGAAUGCGACCUGGACAUGGCGUGGGAGCGCCGAGCUGUCCCCUUGUGGAUGGGGAGCUUUCGUUCACUCAGCAGACGUUUAUGGGGCGCAUGCGUGACUCUGGGGCGUUUAGCGAACACACUUCCUGGGCGGCUCCCAUGACUUUGGGGCUGGAACGUACCAGAACUCAAAACUCAAACCGAAGACUUCAACAAUGGUUUAUUGCUGAACCAGGUGAGCAGCAGGAGGCUCCCCUGGGCCCAGGUCUCAGUACUCAGACCUCUCCUCUGGCCUCAUACUCCUGUCUGCCUGUCUCCAGAUCUCUUUUUCACUGCAGUAUGAUGCUCAUAUUCUCCACACUGGAGCACAUCUUAGCGGUGCGCUAAGGAGGAGUGCAGGUUGGCCUCAGAUACCAGCAGGCAAGGUCUGGGGCAGCUGAGCCCCUGAACUGGUCACCUGUUUUUUCUGUUUAUAAUUUUAUUUAUUAUUUAUGUAUUUAUUUUUGAUACAGGGUCUUGCCCGUCUCCUGGGGUGGAGUGCAUUGACAUGAUCUCUGCUCACUGCAGCCUCCGCCUC